UAGGGAAUCUUGCGCAAUGGGCGAAAGCCUGACGCAGCCAUGCCGCGUGAAUGAUGAAGGUCUUAGGAUUGUAAAAUUCUUUCACCGGGGAAGAUAAUGACGGUACCCGGAGAAGAAGCCCCGGCUAACUUCGUGCCAGCAGCCGCGGUAAUACGAAGGGGGCUAGCGUUGCUCGGAAUUACUGGGCGUAAAGGGCGCGUAGGCGGACAGUUUAGUCAGAGGUGAAAGCCCAGGGCUCAACCUUGGAAAUGCCUUUGAUACUGGCUGUCUUGAGUUCGGGAGAGGUGAGUGGAAUGCCGAGUGUAGAGGUGAAAUUCGUAGAUAUUCGGCGGAACACCAGUGGCGAAGGCGACUCACUGGCCCGAUACUGACGCUGAGGCGCGAAAGCGUGGGGAGCAAACAGGAUUAGAUACCCUGGUAGUCCACGCCGUAAACGAUGAGUGCUAGUUGUCGGCAUGCAUGCAUGUCGGUGACGCAGCUAACGCAUUAAGCACUCCGCCUGGGGAGUACGGUCGCAAGAUUAAAAACUCAAAUGAAUUGAC
rnacentral:rRNA from 1 species